AGAUGACUCGCUUCACGUCGCCGAUUCGAAUGCACGUCAGUCAACUGUCACCAACCGUCUUCAAGUACAAGAAAUCAUUUUGAUCGCCGGUCGGACAGCAAACUACCUGUUGGCAGGUUGACAUAAGAAAAUGGGCAAAACAUGGGUUCUAGUGGAAUGCAGGGAGGAGCCACCGACAUGACAUUGUUCCUAAAAAGAACCUUCUGAAAAAUAACUUUGAACCUGGAGUUGUUGUGGAUGUUGCCGAUGAGGAUGAAAGUUCACCAGCCACAGUUUUAGACCGUUUCUAAGACAACAAAGAAACUCUCAGGAGGAGGAUGUUCAGGAGAGGGGAAUUUACAGACAGCACAGAAGACAUUUCCAGAUGUACCAAUAAAAUUUAUCAGGGCAGCACUCGGAAAAAUUAAAUUAUGAGCACAAGUUACAAGUA